GGGCAGAUGAAAAAAAGAUCAAAAUAUAUUUGGCCUGAUCUAGAACCAUGAGACUCCAAAAUUGAGCUUUUUAGAACUGAUGCCCC